GCACCACAAGCGCGUGGAGCAUGUGGCUUAAUUUGACUCAACACGGGAAAUCUUACCGGGUCCGGACAUACCGAGGAUUGACAGACUGUUAACUGCAACACAAGCUGCUAAGUUUUAAACUUAAUAGCUCUUUCAUGAUUAUAUGAUAGGUGGUGCAUGGCCGUUCUUAGUUCGUGGAGUGAUCUGUCUGCUUAAUUGCGUUUCAAAAUUUAAACCUGAGCGACAAGGUGCUGCUAUCGAAACUGUCUUUGAGUGUGAACUAUAAGUCUUUUGACUUAUGACCAUCACUCUAGACGUUUAUGUUUUGGUGUUGGCCCUUGAUGCUCAUUUGAACGCAACGGACGUGAUUGCAACCCCUUGUUGAGAUUUAUCCGAUCUCUACGUUCACUGAACCACACUCUUUAGCGAGAGCAGUGGGGAUGUGGAUAAACU
rnacentral:rRNA from 1 species